ensembl:snRNA U6 U6 spliceosomal RNA
GUGCCUACUUCAGCAACCCAUAUACUAAAAUCGGGAUGAUACAAAGGAGAUUAGCAUCGGCCCUGUAUAAGGAUGACAUGCAAAUUCAUACAUGGUUCCAUAUUUAA